rnacentral:rRNA from 1 species
GACAGAGGGUGCAAACGUUGCUCGGAAUUACUGGGCGUAAAGCGCGUGUAGGCGGUCACCCCAGUCAGGUGUGAAAUCCCACGGCUCAACCGUGGAAGUGCAUCCGAAACUGCAUCGCUGGAGUCUCGGAGAGGAAGGUGGAAUUCUUGGUGUAGAGGUGAAAUUCGUAGAUAUCAAGCAGAACACCUGCGGCGAAGGCGGCCUUCUGGACGAUGACUGACGCUGAGACGCGAAAGCGUGGGGAGCAAACAGG